GAGGAUUGGGAUGUGAGAGGAACCCCUGUGCGGACACCGAGCCUAUUUAGCUAGAGCUGUGGACCUCCUCGCCUCUUCCACCUUCUUGCCAGAGGGACUCCAGUCCACAAGGGAACAAGAACCAGCAGCACAAAUAAUCAACAAUGCAAAACUCA